CCUACGGGUUGCAGCAGUGGGGAAUAUUGGACAAUGGGCGAAAGCCUGAUCCAGCAAUGCCGCGUGUGUGAAGAAGGUCUUCGGAUUGUAAAGCACUUUCGACGGGGACGAUGAUGACGGUACCCGUAGAAGAAGCCCCGGCUAACUUCGUGCCAGCAGCCGCGGUAAUACGAAGGGGGCUAGCGUUGCUCGGAAUGACUGGGCGCAAAGGGCACGUAGGCGGUGAACCGGGUUGAAAGUGAAAGUCGCCAAAGACUGGCGGAAGACUCUCGAAACCAAUUCACUUGAGUGAGACAGAGGAGAGUGGAAUUUCGUGUGUAGGGGUGAAAUCCGGAGAUCUACGAAGGAUCGCCAAAAGCGAAGGCAGCUCUCUGGGUCCCUACCGACGCUGGAGUGCGAAAGCAUGGGGAGCGAACGGGAUUAGAUACCCCUGUAGUC
rnacentral:rRNA from 1 species